UUUUGGAUUACAAUAGGGGAUAUUACAGGAGGAACAUCAUCCAAAUGUGAUGCAUAAUGUAAAUAUUCUCUUGACAACAAAACUUAAAUUGAAACCAUCCAUCAACAUCCCUACAACUUAACAAAAACUUAAUCGAGCAACAUGAUCCAAGAGGAACAACAUCCCUACUAACUUAACUAAAACUAAAAGCAUCUAUCAUCGUCAUCAUGAACCAGAACACCAUCACCAUCAUUGAAGUAUAAUUGCUUCAUCCAUAUAUCUUCUGAAUCUACAAAGUAAAUAAGAAAAUGAACUGUUAAUACACAAUGCAUUGAGAUUACACAAGUAGUGAUAGAGGCAUGAUGUUUCACAUACAAAUGUUAAACAGAAUGCAAUCUUUGUUUUUUCUGAAUUACCAAGAAUAUUAUAGGUUUUGCAACACCGUACCAAAUCUUCAUUUUUCACAAGUGUCAUAUGAACAUGAAGUGCUGAGAAUUCAUUCGCAGUUUCAGCACCAUCAAGGUUAAAUUUAGGAUCAGAUCUUACAACUAGAGAAAGAGCUACGUACUUGUUAAAUGUAAGUGGAGACAUGAUACAAUGAAAAUUAAGGAUAAAGCCACGUAAUUGCAAUGUUUAAAUAAUCAAACCUUUUUAUUAAUGAAACGAAGUUAUGAAGAUGUAAAUGAAAUUUCAUUCUAUUUUAGGAAUACAAAUAGAAACAUGGCCACUCGACAAUAAUGAUUGCACGUUGUCAUCUUUCAAGAAGUCCGGUGCAAAUAAAAGAACUACAACAGGGGAAAGAAGUAGACGUACAAUUACUGAGCUAAAUAACAAACAUGGUGAAAACCUUUGUUUGGUCUUUCGCUUCAUAGCCUUGAAGCUGGCCAGCAUAUAUGAGUAGCAACUAAGAAUUUAUUAAAAAACCUCUGUCAUCAUUAAAAGUAUACAAUGAAUGAGAAUGGAUUCACACAAAAACUAUAAUUAGCACCUAAGUAUAAGCCAGCUGUAAGGAAUGAAUCCUUACCCAAUGGAAUGGCUUAUACGAAUCUACUACUAUCAUCAGAAUUAGUUUGCUAAUACUGAAAUUAUAGAAAGAUAUUUAUUACAUAUAGUUUUUAACAGCUAGGCCAAUAAAAUAUCUAUCAAUUUCUUCACUUGGUUUCUGGCAUCUUAC
rnacentral:lncRNA from 1 species